UCACUUCCUCUCAGCAGCCACUGCCAAGAGCAAUGCCUGCUUGCCACUCCAGUUGUAAGACAAAUGCCUGCUGGGAAGGGCAGAAGGAACAGUACUCGGUGGCCAGGUCAGAAGCCAGGCCAGAAGUCAAACCCAGCCUCCCAUGUCCACAUUGGUGGCCUCACUGCCAGUCUGGGUUCAAAGGAGACACGGGUAUGGCUGCAGCAGGGCCCCAUGGUAGGAACAUGUGUUCCAGAAGAUCAGGCAGCCUGCCAUUAUUCUAGUCCCACGUAUGGGAGCCACUGCCUGGGAGGAAAGGCCCUCUCCCCUCUGGAACCUGCCCCGCUGCAGCUGGAGACCACGGAACUUUCCAGGGGAGUCACGAAAGGAAAGCUUGACAAAGGAGAAGACGGGCAGAGACAUUUUUUUCCAGCAGAGGAUUAUGAUGUUUCAUUGUGGUCAAGCCGAGCAUCUGCCAUACGCAAGAUGAAGCUUCUGUUCCCAGACAUUUAGAGAGUACCAGCAGGAAUGGACAUCGGAAAUAGAUAUCCUUAUUUACACACCAGGCCUUCUGAUUCGUCUAGUUGUCCCAACUGGGUUCCUAAUGGCCUCUACUAGAAUGAAAGAGCGUUACAGACCUUCCAGGUUCUUUGUAUACUUACAAACAAUAAAAUGUUAUGUCCCACAAGGGGCCUUCUCCUCCCACAGUGAGCUCACCGUCCAUUUCAAAGGGCGCGAGGGAAGGCUCAGAGGCUGAGCUCCUCUCAGAGGCCAUUCUCCUUUCUCCACUGCCUAUUUCCCACUUGCCUUCCACCUGAGCCUCCCGCCACGCCAACCAUGACCUCGAGACCUUGGUACCAACCAAAGUGCCCCUUCCUUUUAACUCCGUCUCACAUGCUCAACGAAUCAACAGCAAGUAUUUCAUAGUUAAAACUCCCACUCUGCACAGCCCCUGGGGCUAUGCCUGAUAGCUGAUAAAAUUCACAGGGGCCACACAGUCUUUGGCCAUUGGUGGUUCCCUAUGCCAUUUCCGGGUGAUCCUGCCUGGUCUACCGCUCUUCUCGUUGGACUGUGAUGAGCCAAGUUCUGACAGAGGGAGGAGGGGUGGCUUCGUGCUCCAGCCUGGCUCUCUGGCAGAGCUGAUCAGAAAUCACUCCUAGCCAGAGACAACAAGGCCAGCAGCCCAUGGCUGGGAGGCCAGCACAGGCCGGCUGGAAUUGGAGUCUGUUCCACUAGCCCCGUGAGGAGGUCAGCUUGCAUAGGAAGGAGCAGGGCGGGAAGCUCCGUGUUCCCAGCUUCCAUGCUCUGGCCCUCGCACGGAGCCCAGAACCAGAGAGCACGUGGGGGGCUUGUCUGUGCAGCCUUGUGUGUCAGACCCGCGCCACCCCCCCCUCCGCCAUGGACACUGCUGCCUCUCACAUGGGUGUUCCUCCCUCCCCAUCUCCCUCCAACUGUACCAACGGGCCAGGCCUGGCUUACUCACCUGCAGGACAGCCCUUCUCUCCUGGCACCUUCUCGUACCCAGGGCAGCACUCAUAGCUGAUGACUCUGCAAUGAGACACACACAUGAGACACACACAUGAGGGGAAGGUGGGGCUCCCCUUCUCCUGGCUGUCAUCAGUCCUCACUCCAGGAAGGGCGUCCACAGGCAGAGGAAGGGAAACGAUGGUACAACACUGUACCGUCUUGGAGGAGAUCAUUCAUUCUCAGUCCUAUUUGUGCCUUUCGGAGCAAAGACCUUGUCACUCUUCCUCAGCUUUGUAGAAUGUUCCUAAUGGUCGCCAUCCCUCCAGCAAUCCAGAGGGGACUGUGGUGGCCUGUUCAAUAGCAGGAUUAGAAAAGAGCCCCACCAGGAAUUUAUCUCCAGCAUAACUCACGGCGAACCCCAUGGUUAGCGUUCUUGGGCCAGCAGGGAGGAGGAAGGGGAGCCCCGGAACUGUCCUGGCUGAGUCUGCCACUAACCAACUGGGACCUCCCCUGCCAGUCCCAUCUCCUGACUCCAUUUCCUUAUCUGUAAAAUGUACGUGUGUAUCUUCCAACAGUCAUGGGAUUCAGUCUCUCACAGUCAUUUGCUCUCCAAUUCGAGGACCCAGAAGGACAGUGUAUAGAUGAUCAUCAAGUUUUUCUGUCUUUACAAUCAAACUCUAACACUUUUAAAGUUAAA